rnacentral:piRNA from 1 species
UUCUUUUUUUCUUUUUAAGCCUCUUCCUC